GUUAAAACUACCCUGCAUGCUCCGUCAACAUCCAGCAAUCGGAAGAAAUUCUACCAAAGUCAGUACUAUUAUAUGCUCUAGAUCUCUCUCUAGCUAUCCUUCAACUCUAACUCCUCUAACUGUUUUGUAACUUAUGCUAUAAUGUACCAAACAAUAUUUAAUUUCCCUCCUUUUUGCCAUUAGUGGAUCUCUAUAUCAAGGUCAU
rnacentral:lncRNA from 1 species